ensembl:lncRNA
GGGGCUUUAUGGGGUCCUAUGGGGGCUUAAAGGGGUCCUAUGGGGUCCUUAUGGGGUCCUAUGGGGCUCUAUGGGGUCUUAUGGGGUUCUAUGGGGUCCUAUGGGGUCUUUAUGGGGUCCUAUGGGGGCUUAAAGGGGAUCUAUGGGGUCCUAUGGGGUCCUUAUGAGGCUCUGUGGGGCUCUAUGGGGUCUUUAUGGGGUCCUAUGGGGUCUUAUGGGGGCUUUAUGGGGUUGUAUGGGGGCUUGAAGGGGUUGUAUGGGGUCUUUAUGGGGUCCUAUGGGGUCUUAUGGGG